rnacentral:rRNA from 1 species
UGGGGGAUAUUGCACAAUGGGCGAAAGCCUGAUGCAGCGACGCCGCGUGGGGGAUGAAGGCUUUCGGGUUGUAAACCUCUUUCGCUAUCGAACAAGGCCCGCUUAGGGUGGGUUGAGGGUAGGUGGAGAAGAAGCGCCGGCUAACUACGUGCCAGCAGCCGCGGUAAUACGUAGGGCGCGAGCGGUGUCCGGAAUUAUUGGGCGUAAAGGGCUUGUAGGGGGGUUGUUGCUCCUGCUGUGAAAACGCGGGGCUUAACUUCGCGCGUGCAGUGGGUACGGGCAGGCUUGAGUGUGGUAGGGGUGACUGGAAUUCCCGGUGUAGCGGUGGAAUGCGCAGAUAUCUGGAGGAACACCGAUGGCGAAGGCAGGUCACUGGGCCAUUACUGACGCUGAGGAGCGAAAGCAUGGGUAGCGAACAGG